rnacentral:rRNA from 1 species
UCUCUCUGAAUCUGCGUACGGCUCCGCAAACCAGUUGUAAACUAUAGCAAGCAUGCCUGGGUUCCCUUCACGGGGAGCUUGGGCGAUACGGAUAACCCUGGUAAUUCUGGGGCUAAUACGAGAACGCAAUCCUUGGCUGACCGGGCAACUGGGAGGCUGAGAGGCGUGCAAGUUGUGUCGCGAGAAAUCGCCGGGAUUGAAUGCACGCCUGGACCGCGCCAAAGACAGAUGAGUGUCCCUGACCCUCACGGGAAGGGGAUGCUUGCCUGAGCGGCUCUUGCAAUGUGCUUCUGACUUAUCAACUAGACGGCAGCGUAAAGGACAUGCUAUGGUUACAACGGGUACAGAGGAUUAGGGUUCGAUCCUGGAGAGUGGGCCUGAGAGAUUGAGC